CCUACGGGAGGCUGCAGUGAGGAAUAUUGGUCAAUGGGCGCGAGCCUGAACCAGCCAAGUAGCGUGAAGGAUGACUGCCCUACGGGUUGUAAACUUCUUUUGUAAAGGAGUAAAGUGAGGUACGCGUGCCUCUUUGAAAGUACCUUACGAAUAAGGAUCGGCUAACUCCGUGCCAGCAGCCGCGGUAAUACGGAGGAUCCGAGCGUUAUCCGGAUUUAUUGGGUUUAAAGGGGGCGUAGACGGGUUGUUAAGUCAGUUGUGAAAAUUUGCGGCUCAACCGUAGAAUUGCAUUUGAUACUGGGAGUCUUGAGUGCAGUUGAGGUAGGCGGAAUGCGUGGUGUAGCGGUGAAAUGCAUAGAUAUCACGAAGAACUCCGAUUGCGAAGGCAGCUUACUAAGCUGCCACUGACGUUGAUGCACGAAAGUGUGGGUAUCAAACAGGAUUAGAUACCCCUGUAGUC
rnacentral:rRNA from 1 species